rnacentral:rRNA from 1 species
GAGAUUCGCUUAUGGAGGGGCUCGCGUCCCAUUAGGUAGUUGGUAGGGUAAAGGCCUACCAAGCCGACGAUGGGUAGCCGACCUGAGAGGGUGAUCGGCCACACUGGAACUGAGACACGGUCCAGACUCCUACGGGAGGCAGCAGUGGGGAAUAUUGGGCAAUGGGCGCAAGCCUGACCCAGCAACGCCGCGUGAGGGAAGAAGGCCUUCGGGUUGUAAACCUCUGUCCUAUGGGAAGAAGAAAGUGACGGUACCAUAGGAGGAAGCUCCGGCUAACUACGUGCCAGCAGCCGCGGUAAUACGUAGGGAGCAAGCGUUGUCCGGAAUUACUGGGCGUAAAGGGUGCGUAGGCUGUUGUUUAAGUCAGAUGUGAAAUACCCGGGCUUAACUCGGGGGCUGCAUCUGAUACUGGAUAACUAGAGUGCAGGAGAGUAAAGUGGAAUUCCUAGUGUAGCGGUGGAAUGCGUAGAUAUUAGGAGGAACACCAGUGGCGAAGGCGACUUUCUGGACUGUAACUGACGCUGAGGCACGAAAGUAUGGGUAGCAAACAGGAUUAGAUACCCUGGUAGUCCAUACUGUAAACGAUGAAUACUAGGUGUGGGGGACAAUAGUCUUCCGUGCCGCAGCCAACGCAAUAAGUAUUCCGCCUGGGGAGUACGGUCGCAAGACUGAAACUCAAAGGAAUUGACGGGGGCCCGCACAAGCAGCGGAGCAUGUGGUUUAAUUCGAAGCAACGCGAAGAACCUUACCAAGGCUUGACAUCCCGGUGACCGGCAUAGAGAUAUGCCUUCUCUUCGGAGCACCGGUGACAGGUGGUGCAUGGUUGUCGUCAGCUCGUGUCGUGAGAUGUUGGGUUAAGUCCCGCAACGAGCGCAACCCUUGUUACUAGUUGCCAGCAUUUCGGAUGGGAACUCUAGUGAGACUGCCGGGGAUAACUCGGAGGAAGGUGGGGAUGACGUCAAAUCAUCAUGCCCUUUAUGUCUUGGGCUACACACGUGCUACAAUGGUCGGUACAAAGAGCGGCGAGCUCGUAAGAGUAAGCGAAUCUCAUAAAGCCGGUCUCAGUUCAGAUUGUGGGCUGCAACCCGCCCACAUGAAGUCGGAGUUGCUAGUAAUCGCGGAUCAGCAUGCCGCGGUGAAUGCGUUCCCGGGCCUUGUACACACCGCCCGUCACACCAUGGAAGUUGGGGGCGCCCGAAGCCGAUGGCCUAACCGCAAGGAGGGAGUCGUCGAAGGUGAAACCAAUGACUGGGGUGAAGUCGUAACAAGGUA